CACCUCCCUUAUGCAUUUAUGUGACGCCAAUUGUGAGAUUCCGCAUAGGUCCCCAGUAGAGCCCUGGAAGGAUCCGUUAGCAAAAAACUUCAGUGUGACAUUCAUCAACUUGUGGUUGUGCAGUCAAAGGUACUUGAGUCAUUGGCAUGUUAAAGUAAUAUACCCGCACGGUAGCCCCUCAGUUCUGAUGUGAACAACCUGUUACUCCAGGGUGUUGCUGCCGUCAGAACUUUGCUGCUAUGUUUAUCAA